rnacentral:rRNA from 1 species
UACGUAGGGGCAAGCGUUGUCCGGAUUUAUUGGGCGUAAAGCGCGUGUAGGCGGUUCGGUAAGUCCGCUGUGAAAGUCGGGGCUCAACCCUCGGAUGCCGGUGGAUACUGUCGAGCUUGAGUACGGAAGAGGCGAGUGGAAUUCCUGGUGUAGCGGUGAAAUGCGCAGGAUAUCAGGAGGAACACCUGUGGUGUAGACAGCUUACUGGACCACUCUGACGCUGAGACACGAAGCGUGGGUAGCAAACAGG